UACGGGGGGGCAAGCGGUUGUUCGGAAUUACUGGCGUAAAGGGCUCGUAGGCGGUUUCGUAAGUCGGGUGUGAAAACUCUAGGCUCAACCUAGAGACGCCACCCGAUACUGCGAUGCUAGAGUUCGGUAGGGGAGACUGGAAUUCCUGGUGUAGCGGUGAAAUGCGCAGAUAUCAGGAGGGAACACCGGUGGCGAAGGCGGGUCUCUGGGCCGAUACUG
rnacentral:rRNA from 1 species